GACGAACGCUGGCGGCGUGCCUAACACAUGCAAGUCGAACGGAAAGGUCCGGUCUUUGUGCGGUCCUGGAGGGGCGAACGGGGAAGCAACACGUGAGUAACCUGUCCCUGACUGUGGGGGAUCCUAAUGAAACAUGGGCUCUUACCGCAUAGGAGCUCUUGCCGCAUGGUGGGCGCGGGUUAGUUUCGGCGGUUGGGGAUGGACUCGCGGCUCAUCAGCUUGUUGGUGGGGUAGUGGCUUACCAAGGCCUUGACGGGUAGCCGGCCUGGGAGGGUGAGCGGCCACAUUGGGACUGGGAUACGGCCCAGACUCCUACGGGAGGGAGCGGUGGAGGAUAGUGCACGAUGGGCGGAAGCCUGAUCCAGCAACGCCGCGUGCGGGAUGGCGGCCUUCGGGUUGUAAACCGCUUGCGCCUGUGACGAGGAGUGAGUGACGGUAACGGGUAAAGAAGCACCGGCUAACUACGUG
rnacentral:rRNA from 1 species